UUAAUUGGGUGCAGGGGUCUGAGGUUUGUGUAUCCUCAGAAUAGGCACAGCACAGUCAGUGGCAGUGCAGGCUUCCCUCCACCCCACUCCACCUUUGUGCCGAGCCAUGACACAGAGGGGUGAGUUUCCCUGUCUGUUUGAAACCUGGCCUCU
rnacentral:sRNA from 1 species